CUUGAAUUUACUGGAUGGGAUUUAGACAAGUGGAGAGUCCCAACUGGGACAGACCUCAUACCGGAGAGAUCCUACCAUGGACAGUAUCCUCCCCUGCUGGGUGAUCUUUGGUCUCCUGGGGGCAGGACACAUGGCACCAGGGGUCAAGCAAACGCCUAGCCACAAGAUCACUGAGGUGGGACAGCCUGUGACUCUGUGGUGUGACCCUAUUUCUGGUCACCCGUAUGUCUAUUGGUACCAACAGACUGCAGAAAAAGGAAUGGAGUUCAUUGUUUAUAUUUAUGAUGAGGACAACACAGAAAAGGCAGACUUUUUCCAAGAUCGAUUCUCUGUAGAAAAACCCGAAGGAUCAUACUCCAAUCUGAAUAUCCAGCCGGUGCAGCUAGGAGACUCUGCCAUCUAUCUCUGUGCCAGCAGUUUAGCCACAGCAUCACAUAGACAUUUCCUGUCCUUACAAAAACUCAGUACCUCCCCCUCUCCUCAGGCUCUGAGCAGCCCUUCCUUCCUAUUCAGAAGAUCACUCAGCCCCAACUAG